rnacentral:rRNA from 1 species
GAUGAACGCUGGCGGCGUGCCUAAUACAUGCAAGUCGAGCGAACGGACGAGAAGCUUGCUUCUCUGAUGUUAGCGGCGCACGUGUGAGUAACACGUGGAUAACCUCCCUAUAAGACUGGGAUAACUUCGGGAAACCGUAGCUAAUACCGGAUAAUAUUUUGAACCGCAUGGUUCAAAAGUGAAAGACGGUCUUGCUGUCACUACUAGAUGGAUCCGCGCUGCAUUAGAUAGUUGGUAAGGUAACGGCUUACCAAGGCAACGAUGCAUAGCCGACCGGAGAGGGUGAUCGGCCACACGGGAACUGAGACACGGUCAAGACUCCUACGGGAGGCAGCAGUAGGGAAUCUGCCGCAAUGGGCGAAGGCCUGACGGAGCAACGCCGCGUGAGUGAUGAAGGUCUUCGGAUCGUAAAACUCUGUUAUUAGGGAAGAACAUAUGUGUAAGUAACUGUGCACAGAUUGACGGUACCUAAUCAGAAAGCCACGGCUAACUACGUG